AGGCGAAAGGUUCUGGAGCUCUCUCCGUAUCUCUUCUCUCUCUCUUUUCUCUCUAUCAUAUCAGGACCAGAUCGGCUCACAUUCGAGUGAUGGAGGCUCAGGAGUUUGGAGAGAUGAUGGAGCAUGUCAACGAGGUCAAUUUCGCUUUCGAUGGCCUUAGGAAACCCCAGCCCAUACGGAUCAGAAGGGCUAGCUUGUUGUCCAUAUGCGCCACUGUACAGCAGAGACGCCUCUUGCGGACUUAAGGGCGUAGAAAGUAGGGUCUAGAUCACUCUCUCCAGAGCACUCAUGCUGCUAAUUGUUGCCACAGUUAGAAGAACAUUCAUGGAUGCAGACGAAUUGAGAUGGGUGGCAUGACAAUAUCACUUGGUAAGAUAAGAGAUUUAAGGUGGUGACAAGUUUUCUGCUGAACUUCAAGAUCAAACAUUCAAAAUUAAUCUCUUUAAGAAGAAAAGAUUGGACCAACUUUAGUGUGCAAGGACAACCUGGAGAGAACUAUAGUGUUUUGCUAUUAUGGUGCUACUGCAACAAUAGAAAAGGAGAUAUUCAUUGUAGCUCUUAGAAAAGCUCUUGGGGGAGUUUUUUUUUUUUUUAAAAUAACUUUUGGAAGUUUUUGGAGAGUGAUUAAUGAUUAGGUUAUACUUUUACAUUGUAUA